UACGGAGGGUGCAAGCGUUAUCCGGAUUCACUGGGUUUAAAGGGUGCGUAGGUGGGCAGGUAAGUCAGUGGUGAAAUCUCCGAGCUUAACUCGGAAACUGCCAUUGAUACUAUCUGUCUUGAAUCUUCUGGAGGUGAGCGGAAUAUGUCAUGUAGCGGUGAAAUGCUUAGAUAUGACAUAGAACACCCAUUGCGAAGGCAGCUCACUACGGGACAAUUGACACUGAGGCACGAAAGCGUGGGGAUCAAACAGG
rnacentral:rRNA from 1 species